rnacentral:tRNA from 1 species
AUUUAAAUAGCUUAUACAAUAAAGUUUAGUACUGAAGAUACUAGGAAAAUAUUUAAAUAUUUUUAAAUG